AGCACGGUAGCUCAGUGGUAGCAGCGGUGGGCUCAUAACCCAAAGGUCCCUGGAUCGAAACCAGGCCGUGCUA
rfam:Colletotrichum gloeosporioides Nara gc5 unplaced genomic scaffold scaffold15, whole genome shotgun sequence.